UCAGAAGAAUAAACAGACCAGGAACAUAACACAUAAAUUUGUACCUCCAAAUUGUCCUUACCUUGAGACAAGAGGGUCAGCCUCCUUUCCGGCCCAAUUAUCAGGCACUGGGUGCCCCCAGGGUGGAGGGAAUAAUUUCUUCUGGGUAAAGAGGCUACUCCAGUGAUGAUAGUUCUUUGGAGAAGAAGACCAGCCGUGAACCCUUAGCAGCCAAAUUUAUGGCUGUUGGGGGACGCACACGCUGGUUCCAUCAAGGAGAGCUGGACAAGGCACCAACAUAUGUUGUGUAUAUACGAAUAAGAGUAUAUUGCAUUUACUACACGAAUGAAGGUAACAAAGGCAGUCACGCGUGCGUGCACACACAAGGACGGGGGUUAAUAGUGAGGAAAAAGAAAAAAGAGGAGAUUGACUUCUAUUUCCUCUAAAGGCUUGCAAGGUUAUUAUGAGGAUAAAAUGAGAUAAUACUUUAGGAAAUACUAGAAACUCAUGCCUCGUGCAUUCUCAAACCCAUCACAAGCAUUCCUGACUCCAUUGUGCCGUUCUCUUGGCCUUUGACAGCCCACCCCUCACAACCAAGUUUACCUGUGACUUCAAAGUGGCUAUCAGGUGCCUCCUCUUUGGAAGGCUCCCAGGCCUUGAGCCAAAUGCCCUGCUAGCAGCUGGGCUCAGCAAAAAUGCUCAAGUAUUUUUAGCCUCUAUUUGGGUAUACUGAUUUCCGGAACAAUAUCCUCUAAUUAUGGUGUCUAGGAUUGUAUCCUGCCUUCCCAGCCUUAUCCCACCAGAAGCAGUAAUUCUGCACUGUCUAGCAACUCUUUCCAGGUGCUCCACAAACCAAACAGGGCUUCUCAGACUUCUAGAUAUGCCAUCCUGGAACUGGCUUUAAUUUCAACACUCAUCAAAGUACUUUACUCAGAGCAAAGGGCAAUCUUUGAAUCUUCCCCUCAACAGGCUGUUCCAUGGUUUUCUCGUGCCAGUUGGCAUCCAGCACAAAGCACUGGCACAUUUUUGUUGUUGUUUCAGAACAAUACUGCCAAACACAAUUCCACAUUAACACCCCAUGGAGUGGGAAAAUGAAGUUUAUAGCCUAUUCUAGUUUCCUAUUGCCGAAUGGCAAGUCACACUAAAACUGAGUGGCUUGAAACAGCCAUUUUAUUAUUUCUCAUGGUUCUGUAGCUUUGCUUGGCUGGCUGGACAGUUUUAUUGGUCUUUCUUUGCGUCUUUCAUGCCACCUGCAGAUGGCAGUUGGGCCUGGCGUCAUCUGGAAGUUCAACUCGGAUGCUGGCUGAAGUCUUAGAGCAUCUCCUGCUUGUAAGGCUGCUCCAACAGGGUAGCAAGACUUGUUAUACAGUGGCUCAAGGAUCCCAAAGUGAGCAUUACAAGACAGAAGAAGUUGAAACCUGCCAUGUCUUCUUAAUGCCUGGUCUCAGGGCUCCCACAACAUCGUUUUCUACACAUUCUAUUGGUUAAAGUAGUCGCAAGCCCAGCUCAGAUUCAAGGUAAGUGAAAGUAUGUUUUACUUCUUGAUGGAAAACUCCCUGGGCUAAAAUCAAGAUGUCAACAGGGAUGUAUUUCUUCCUGGAAGUUCUAGGGGAGAAACUGUUUCCUUAUCUUCUCUAGCUCCUAGAGGCUGUCUGCAUUUCUUGGCUCUUGGCUCCUUGUAUCUUCAAGGCCGGCAUUGGCAGGGUGAGUCUCACAUCAUGUCUCUCUGACACUGACUGACUC
rnacentral:lncRNA from 1 species